UUUUCAAUUUAUAGGGUGUACAGGAACAGAAUGUCCUGUGUCAUGGAGCACCUGCUGAAGGACAUCCAAGAACUGGAUUGCAUGACAAAACAGGAAGUACAAAUGAAACAUAUCUGUAUGAUUGCUACUUUUCCAGAGAAGAGCUGAAGUGCAAAGCAGGUGUUCGUGGUAUGGCAGCAGAAGUUGAACCUUCCUACCAAGAUUUCCUUACAUUUUGUUGCUGUGUAACAGAUGGCAGAAGAGGAGCAGUCUGAGAAAAUGGCAUUUGAUGUAGAAGUAAAACUCAUUUUUAGCAUUUGAGGAAGUAGAAUGCAGAAGCCCACUGUAUUUUGCUGGAUUUUGUAAAGG